rnacentral:lncRNA from 1 species
GUGCACACAGACACUUGCACAGACACACAUGCACAUGCAUACACAGAUGCACACAGACACACACGCACAUGCACACACAGAGGCACAGACACACGCACACACAUACACAGAUGCACACAGACACACGCACAUGCACACACAGAGGCACAGACACACGCACAUGCACACACAGAUGCACACAGACACACGCACAUGCACACACAGAGGCACAGACACACGCACAUGCACACACAUACACAGAUGCACAUGCACACACAGACACACACGUGCACACAGACACUUGCACAGACACAUGCACACACAUACACAGAUGCACACAGACACACGCACAUGCACACACAGAGGCACAGACACACGCACAUGCACACACAGAUGCACAUGCACACACAGACACACACGUGCACACAGACACUUGCACAGACACAUGCACACACAUACACAGAUGCACACAGACACACGCACAUGCAUACACAGAUGCACAUGCACACACAGACACACACGUGCACACAGGACACACAAUAGUGCACAUGCACAUGCACACAGAUGCACAUGCACACACAGACACACAGGUGUGCACGCAGGGUGCCUUUUCUCCAGAGGUGCGCCUCUUUUUUUUUUUUAAUUGAGGCAAAAUUCAUAUAACACAAAAUUAGCCAGUUAAAGUGAAUGACUCAGUGGCAUUUAGCACAUUCAGUGUUUGCAAGCACCACUUCCACCUAGUUCCAGGACAUUUGCAUCCCCCCAGAAUAAAACCUCAGGCCAUUAGGCAGUUUCUCCCCAAUCCCCUCCCUCUAGCCCGUGGAAACCACCGCUCUGCUGUUUCCAUGGAUUUACCUGUUCUGGGUGUUCCAUGUAAAUGGAAUCACCCACGUAUGACCUUUUGUGUCUG